rnacentral:rRNA from 1 species
UACGGGGGGGAGCAAGCGUUGUUCGGAUUUACUGGGCGUAAAGGGCGCGUAGGCGGUCGUGACAAGUCACUUGUGAAAUCUCCGGGCUUAACUCGGAACGGUCAGCUGAUACUGUUUUGCUAGAGUACAGAAGGGGCAAUCGGAAUUCUUGGUGUAGCGGUGAAAUGCGUAGAUAUCAAGAGGAACACCUGAGGUGAAGACGGGUUGCUGGGCUGAUACUGACGUGAGGCGCGAAAGCUAGGGGAGCGAACGGG